UACGGAGGGUGCAAGCGUUAUCCGGAUUCACUGGGUUUAAAGGGUGCGUAGGUGGGCAGGUAAGUCAGUGGUGAAAUCUCCGGGCUUAACCCGGAAACUGCCAUUGAUACUAUCUGUCUUGAAUACCGUGGAGGUGAGCGGAAUAUGUCAUGUAGCGGUGAAAUGCUUAGAUAUGACAUAGAACACCAAUUGCGAAGGCAGCUUACUACCCGAAUAUUGACACUGAGGCACGAAAGCGUGGAGAUCAAACAGG
rnacentral:rRNA from 1 species